UUUGCGGGUAAGCCCUUUUUCACUACCUAAUGUUCUUAAUGUACCUUGGUGCAAACGUUACCCGGCGCUCUAGCACCAAUCGAACACGACAUCGAACAUGAAAAAUGUAUGGGAUUUGACAUGUUUGUCUUGUUUGUUUGUGUCUGACAGUGCACCUCCAUAUGAUUAUAACCGUAUUAAUACACGAUGCGCAGUCUUAGAUUGCGCAUAUAUUCAUGUUAUCAAAAAAUAUGUCAUUUCGCGUAGCCAACCAUGAGCUUUAAACGUCAUUUCCAUACAUUUUCAGAUUGCGCCAAGAUUGCGCAUAAAUUUUCAAGAUUUAAUGUCUAAGACUUAUCCCAAAUGACAAUCCAGCCUGCUCUCACUAUGGCGAGCUCAAUGACAGCUGCUUCAACUCAUACUGAGAGGCUAUCAUCGUUUCCUCCUGCGUACUGAGCAAGCUUGUUUUUUCCCCUCGCUGAGGCGAGAUGAUUUUGUUUGUAUGGUGAGCAAAUCUAUCGCCGAUGAUUGCUCUAAUGAGAUGAUCAAGCAACAGCCGCUCACAUGAUGAAAUCAUGAUGAGGUCGGAUUUUGGAGUGAGUAAAAAUUUCUUCCCCACAUCGAGCCGUGUGAUUGUGUUGUGGUUUUAGGAGAACAUUGGAUCAUCUACGAAUUGUUUACAUUUGUAAAACGUGCAAUAAUUGACCGCGGGCUACAUUUCUCGAUUCUUUUGUUGAAAGAGCAUAUCAAAUAUCCCAAAUCAGUUAAAAUAUAGUGAAAUGUUGUAUCGGACACACGAUGCUUUGAAGAAAACGUGAGGGCAAACAUGGGAAGAUGAUGAACAUUGUCCCUUACUAAUAGUUGAUUUACAGCCUCUUGGCAUCAACAAAACAUGAAGCAGCGUUUAACGAUGAAGAAGAUACCCAGUUGUGCGAUGACCAUUAACCGUUAACGUUGGAAAUUAAGAGGAAUAUUACAUGGAUCGAAAAUACCUAGAGAGCCUAGAACCUACUUAACACCCAGAAAUACCGCAUCGAGUCAAAUUUAGAACGUAAAUAAUCGUCCACAAAAGGCCAUCUUUUGGAUUGUGGGUGAUUGUUAGCAGUGGCGGAUUAAGACGAGUGGAGGCCCUAAGCGAUCACACGAAAUUAGAGGCUUGAUUGAAGCGUGUAGCAAAGGAUUGUAUCAAAUGUCCUAACCAGCGAUUGAGUAGCAAUUUUACUUGUGAGCGGGGCGUAGGUGCCAUUUUUGGGGUCCCUGGCCGACACAGAUGUUCGACACUUAAACAACUGAAUACGAUGGAACACAUUAAAACUGAGAGAAAUACACAUCUAAUCAAUUACUUUAAAAAAUAAUAUAAUUGUAUUGAUUCGUGAUGUAUUUUGUAGUUUUGACCUGCAUGCACAAUUCUAAAAUAUUCCUAUGAAUCACAGACAGGCCUAAAGCCUAAAGGCCUGCCUAAUAAACUUGAAAAUUACACGCGGCAAAGAACCCUAAAAAAGCUAAAUAAAA